rnacentral:rRNA from 1 species
AUUGAACGCUGGCGGCAGGCUUAACACAUGCAAGUCGAGCGGAGAUGAGGUGCUUGCACCUUAUCUUAGCGGCGGACGGGUGAGUAAUGCUUAGGAAUCUGCCUAUUAGUGGGGGACAACAUUCCGAAAGGAAUGCUAAUACCGCAUACGCCCUACGGGGGAAAGCAGGGGAUCUUCGGACCUUGCGCUAAUAGAUGAGCCUAAGUCGGAUUAGCUAGUUGGUGGGGUAAAGGCCUACCAAGGCGACGAUCUGUAGCGGGUCUGAGAGGAUGAUCCGCCACACUGGGACUGAGACACGGCCCAGACUCCUACGGGAGGCAGCAGUGGGGAAUAUUGGACAAUGGGCGGAAGCCUGAUCCAGCCAUGCCGCGUGUGUGAAGAAGGCCUUUUGGUUGUAAAGCACUUUAAGCGAGGAGGAGGCUACCUGGAUUAAUACUCUAGGAUAGUGAACGUUACUCGCAGAAUAAGCACCGGCUAACUCUGUGCCAGCCGCCGCUGUAAGAC